GUUUUUAUAGUAACGAGUAGUUUAACCGUUUGUUGGUCAUGUCGUUUUCCGCUAACUGCGUCUGCUGCAGACCGGACUCUGACUGCGUCUAACGGGACUGUACCACUUCUCAGGGAGACAGAUGAUGAGAAUCCCCACCACCAGGAGCCCUGCGAGGACUCCUCCUAUUAUAGCUGCUGUGGAUCCAAUUUUCAUGCUAGCUGGAGAAAAAAGACCAAAAGGGAGGUGGUGGCCUGUGGUUUUCCAUCAUCAUCACCAUAUAUAAGGACACUGCACUGGAAAUGGCCGUUUUCCUGCAUGUUUUUUCUGGGAGGACGUCCCAUUUCAGUAUAUAUUCAAUGAAGGAUGGAUUUGCAGGGACCCAGGAGCAGGUCAAGUCAACACUGCCCCCUUUUUCAGCCUCAUAUUUACUUUUUGGAAUGGACACCUGGAUACUCC